UCCACGGAAUAUCUCGACGUUGUACCUUUGAGAAUAUGCCAGCGAUAGUAAAGUUAUUACAAUGUGUGAAAGCUUUAAUCGGGGAUUAGCGCAUUCUGGCACUUUCCUUUCCCGCGUCUGAGCAAUUACAUACGCGUUUUACGAUUCUCCGGUUGACCGGUGUCAAUGUCACGGGAUCUCGCCGGGAAAAAACGUUCAAUCCACCAGUUUCCUAAAACGAGCAGCGGGGCGUCCGGUGCGGCCGGUUUCAGAGAGAUGAAAAAAGGAAUUUCCUAAGAACGGGUUCGACUGCUCGACGAUCGAAGACAGGCAAGGGUAUAAAACAUCUGCGUCGCAGAUUUGGCCGUUGCAAUCGGUCUCGACGAGUACAAGAAUCGUCUUUCCUUUUUCCUGAAGAGUGAAAGAUAUUUCCAGACCUCCUAAGACAAGUUCCAUAAAUAAACUUAUAUGUUGUUUUCUUUGA